GAUGAACGCUGGCGGCGUGCCUAAUACAUGCAAGUCGAGCGAACGGACGAGAAGCUUGCUUCUCUGAUGUUAGCGGCGGACGGGUGAGUAACACGUGGAUAACCUACCUAUAAGACUGGGAUAACUUCGGGAAACCGGAGCUAAUACCGGAUAAUAUUUUGAACCGCAUGGUUCAAAAGUGAAAGACGGUCUUGCUGUCACUUAUAGAUGGAUCCGCGCUGCAUUAGCUAGUUGGUAAGGUAACGGCUUACCAAGGCAACGAUGCAUAGCCGACCUGAGAGGGUGAUCGGCCACACUGGAACUGAGACACGGUCCAGACUCCUACGGGAGGCAGCAGUAGGGAAUCUUCGCAAUGGGCGAAAGCCUGACGGAGCAACGCCGCGUGAGUGAUGAAGGUCUUCGGAUCGUAAAACUCUGUUAUUAGGGAAGAACAUAUGUGUAAGUAACUGUGCACAUCUUGACGGUACCUAAUCAGAAAGCCACGGCUAACUACGUG
rnacentral:rRNA from 1 species